GUGCUUGCUUACUUCAGCAGCACAUAUACUAAAAAGCUGGAACAAUACAGAGAUUAGCAUGGUCCAUACACAAGGAUGACACCCAAAUUCAGAAGCAUCCCAUUAAA
ensembl:snRNA U6 U6 spliceosomal RNA